rnacentral:lncRNA from 11 species
UUUUGCUUUUAUCAUAUACCGGUAAUAGAGAUUUCAACCUUGAUAUAGUAUGUAAAUUUGUGUUUGUAUGGCUACCUAUAAAUUGAUUAUGACUUAACGAUUUACUCAACCUAAGUCCAAACAAACCUAGUUCAACCUAAUAGCAUAACGUUCCUACAUUUACAUUCGCAUUCCUCUCACAAUGCCGUGUGGUCGUUUAAGACAAAAUCACUAAAUUUGCCACCAAAGUUCUGGAAACUGACAACAAAAUAGAUAAGUUAAAUUUUAAAUGUAAAGUCUCAUUCAAACGCAGUCUAAGGCGCGUAGCUUGUUGAUAUAAUAUGCGCCUAGUCCCAGUACCCUAUCUGUACAUCUGUUAUGGAUAUCGUUAUGAUAGUUGGCAGGCAUAUGGAGGCUGCUCAAAGGACAUGCCAUGAUCGCGCGCGCGUGCAGGCAUCGUUAUCUUAAUGCAACAACGAUAAUGGCUUCCAAAUGUAUGUCGCAUAUCCUAAACUAGAUCGUUGCUCUGUUGAUCUAGAUGAUUGUCACAACACAAUCUGUUUCUGGGGUUGAGCUUUAUCUAUGGCCUACAGUAGAGUAGAAAACAGAAGUGUCAUGAACUGUAAGUGUAUAGUGGCGGCGGCGCGCUCGAACGUUCGAUAUUGUUUUUAUCUAUAGGCAACAUAUUGAUCAUUCAUCGUAGAUGAUACGUCUCCCCGAAGUACAAAGCUGGCUUAUUUAAUGAUCCCACUGCAUGUGAUUACGGGCAUUAUUGUCAGAAUGUUCGAAUCGCGCACGGUUGAUUACAUAUACAUGAUAUUCAUACUUGUGGAAAUAAUAAUCAUCCUGCAACGCUUAAAGAAAAGAGGCGACUCAACUGUCCAUCAUGAAGGUUGGCUCUGGCAUGAUGAUACACCAUCAGCUAUAAAUGGCGACGACAGCAUGUAUUCGGGCACCCCACCUAGUGUUGUAUUCGUAAAUGAGAACUUGCAGAUAGGACAUUAACAGCAAAGGCCGUAGCCAAGAUGGACUAGUGCAAAAAACACUUCUCUCCGAAUUCACACCUGGCCAGAACAUCAAUUAAUUGAUUCAAAUUUCCUACCCCUCAAUGUGGUCACUUAUUCGAACUAGGAUUUUAUUCGUAAUGAAGUCUACUAAAUACACAGCGCGCAUCUGGAACGAUAAGUCGUGUCUUCUCCAAUAACUGACGUGGGCUUCCAGCUUCAGGCAAUUCUUCGUCCGAAAACGACGGGUCCAGUGACAUCUACAGCCUGACUUCUAACUGGGGCCGCAGCGUUACGCUACAACCGUACACAACACUAAACGUUCCAUUGGUUUCUUGUGUAUCAUAUGUGAGCAUAUGUAGAAGUAACGUAAAGGGUAAAACGGAUGCCACAUUUACUUGUCGCACAAGUCGGUACUUCAUUUGCUAUAACAAGAGUUACUGCUGUUGUAUCUGCGUGUUCAUAUUUAAAAGAAGUCGAGCGGAGUUCUGUCACAUGAUCUGGGGGACUAUUGGGCGUUACCCCAUCUGGAGACCAGCCGCUCUCUGAAGUGAUCCUUUAAUAACACGAUAACGUUAUCAGUCACAUGGAAGGGUGGAUCAUACUAUUAAAACCACAUGCCUUGUUAGCUUUCAGUGACUUGGGGUCGCCUGGAGACCCAUCCUGCUAGCGAAUAAGGCUUAGAGUUUCGCCCAAAAACAGCGCCAAUAAUGCCUCCGGCUCACAUGACGGACCAGAAAGUUUUCCGAAUAUGAAUCCGUAUAGAGGAUCAUCGAGAAACGAGGAAUGGUUUACGACAAACCGUAGGCGAUGGACAAACUUUAAAGAAAAUAUCUGUACCCCAUUCCAGAGAUACAACCAGAUGUCCACGAGAAAGCGCCUAAAAACUGGAUGAGAAAAUUACCUACCAUGACGAAAGCCGAGGUUAGCCGUAAAUGACGCACUUCUUCGUCGAGAAGUUUGUAGAUCAUAAACGUAGGAUCAUAGAUAUACGGCGAUCCCGAUGAAAAGUCGAGCUUCUGUUCACACAGAAAUGGAUUUCGCGCAUGUUGGCAGCAAGAGUUUGAUCGCAGCCCAGAGACUAUGACGCUUUGCUUUUCUGAACAGAACGAAACGUGUUUGGGCGGUAGCACGACGUAUCUUUAC